GCCUACGGGAGGCAGCAGUAGGGAAUAUUGCGCAAUGGAGGAAACUCUGACGCAGCAACGCCGCGUGAAGGAAGAAGGUUUUCGGAUCGUAAACUUCUUUGACAGGGGACGAAGACAAUGACGGUACCCUGAAAACAAGCCACGGCUAACUACGUGCCAGCAGCCGCGGUAAUACGUAGGUGGCGAGCGUUGUCCGGAAUUACUGGGUGUAAAGGGCGUGCAGGCGGGGAUGUAAGUCAGAUGUGAAAUUCCACGGCUCAACUGUGGGGCUGCAUCUGAAACUAUGUCUCUUGAGUGCUGGAGAGGAAAGCGGAAUUCCAAGUGUAGCGGUGGAAUGCGUAGAUAUUUGGAGGAACACCAGUGGCGAAGGCGGCUUUCUGGACAGUAACUGACGCUGAGGCGCGAAAGCGUGGGGAGCAAACAGGAUUAGAUACCCCUGUAGUCCG
rnacentral:rRNA from 1 species